rnacentral:lncRNA from 1 species
UCAAAGUACUUAUUUAUAUAACUUAUCAAAAUAGAAAGAGCAUUAAAGAAUACAGCGAAAUCAGCUGCUACUUGUUACAUAACAGAAAAAAUAGUAGAAGAUUAGGUCAAGCUUAACAAACUUUGAUAACUUCAGUUCAGCAUGUGUUUUAUUAAACCUCAACACUUCUCAAACAUCAGUAGCCCACUCAUCUCCACGUCAGCAGCUCUUGGGACAUCAUUCAACACUAUUCUUUGGCUUUGGCGCUGCAGACUCAAGGCCUUUGCCUCAAGAACUCAUACCUAGCUUUGGAAAGUGUCUUGGUCAAGAUAUCAACAUUUUGAUUCUCUGUUUUGUAAUAAAUCACUCCUUCUCUUUGUACCUCUCCUAGAAAAUAGAGUUUCAGCUUGAAAUGUUUUGUUUUGCCAUGAAACACAAUUAAAAUUGUACCUUGGCCCGGCAGUCUACAAGUAUCUACGUGCUUU